rnacentral:rRNA from 1 species
UACGAAGGGGGCUAGCGUUGCUCGGAUUGACUGGGCGUAAAGGGCGCGUAGGCGGAUAGUACAGUCAGGCGUGAAAUUCCUGGGCUCAACCUGGGGGCUGCGUUUGAUACGUAUUGUCUGGAGUUCGGAAGAGGGUAGUGGAAUUCCCAGUGUAGAGGUGAAAUUCGUAGAUAUUGGGAAGAACACCGGUGGCGAAGGCGGCGACCUGGUCCGUUACUGACGCUGAGGCGCGAAAGCGUGGGGAGCAAACAGG